UUUCUCGGCCUGUUGUGUAUAUAAUCACAGUGACUGUGUUUCUACUUCAAGCCUGCGACUGGCAUCUGGAUUUUCAUAGCCAGUUUGUAGUGUACUAUCGAAAGGACUGCAUUCCCUUCUUCGAGCCCAUGACUGGCAUCAGGAUUAUCAUAGUCAGCCUGUAGUGUACAAUCGAGGUUAGUGCCUGCCUUCCUCACUUGCGGCCCAUGACUGGCAUCAGGAAUUUAAUUGUCAGCCUGUAGUGUAUUAUCGAAAGGACUGCAUUCCCUUCUUCGAGCCCAUGACUGGCAUCAGGAUUAUCAUAGUCAGCCUGUAGUGUACAAUCGAGGUGAGUGCCUGCCUUCCUCACUUGCGGCCCAUGACUGGCAUCAGGAAUUUAAUUGUCAGCCUGUAGUGUAUUAUCGAAAGGACUGCAUUUCCUUCUUCGAGCCCAUGACUGGCCUCAGGAUUAUCAUAGUCAGCCUGUAGUUUACAAUCGAAUUGAGUGCCUUCCUCACUUUCGACCUACGACUGGCAUCAGGAAUUUAAUUGUCAGCCUGUAGUGUUCCGUCGAAGUUACUCCGUUUCUCGCUUCCAGCCAACGACCGGCAUCAGGACUUUAAUUGUCAGCCUGUAAUGCAUCGAAUUUGUGACCAGAUCUUCAAGUUGCCAUUCACUUCCGCUCCGAGAUGUCUUCCAGCUUACU